GAUGAACGCUAGCUACAGGCCUAACACAUGCAAGUCGAGGGGAAACGGCGGCUUAGCUUGCUAAGCUGGACGUCGACCGGCGCACGGGUGAGUAACGCGUAUCCAACCUGCCCACGGUGAGGGAUAACCCGCGGAAACGCGGCCUAAUACCUCAUGGCCUCCGAGCUUGACAUCAACCUUGGAGUAAAGAUUCAUUGCCGUGGGAUGGGAAUGCGUCUGAUUAGCUUGUUGGCGGGGCAACGGCCCACCAAGGCGACGAUCAGUAGGGGUUCUGAGAGGAAAGCCCCCCACAUUGGAACUAGAGACACGGUCCAAACUACCUACGGGAGGGCAGCAGUGAAGAAUAUUGGUCG
rnacentral:rRNA from 1 species